CACAUCCUGUAGGAGAAGUUGUUUCUUGGAUGAAAACUUCUUUUGCUCUCUUUCUUCCUCCUAAACUCUGUGGAGGUGUUCGUUUGGCUCAGGUAGUUUGGCCAGGAGCAGUUGGAGCAGAGCCAUUCAUCCAAACAUCUUUGGAGGUCACAUCUGCAGGAGUCAGAGGUCACGAGACAAGGGCUAAAAGGCAGCUUUCUGGCUGUAGGCCAAGGCCAUGAGGUCAGAGACUGAGGUGAUUGGCUGAGUUGAAUUGAAGGUGGGGUGUGUGUGUAUAUAGGUGGACUGUUGAAUGUAGUGAGACGGAUGGAAGGGCUGCCACUUUGAGAGCUGCUGUGAGGCCUGAAAAGACCCAAUAAACCUGCUUUGUUUGCUGUAAAGCCA